rnacentral:rRNA from 1 species
GACGAACGCUGGCGGCGUGCUUAACACAUGCAAGUCGAACGGAAGGGCCCUGCUUUUGUGGGGUGCUCGAGUGGCGAACGGGUGAGUAACACGUGAGUAACCUGCCCUUGACUUUGGGAUAACUUCAGGAAACUGGGGCUAAUACCGGAUAGGAGCUCCUGCUGCAUGGUGGGGGUUGGAAAGUUUCGGCGGUUGGGGAUGGACUCGCGGCUUAUCAGCUUGUUGGUGGGGUAGUGGCUUACCAAGGCUUUGACGGGUAGCCGGCCUGAGAGGGUGACCGGCCACAUUGGGACUGAGAUACGGCCCAGACUCCUACGGGAGGCAGCAGUGGGGAAUAUUGCACAAUGGGCGGAAGCCUGAUGCAGCAACGCCGCGUGCGGGAUGACGGCCUUCGGGUUGUAAACCGCUUUCGCCUGUGACGAAGCGUGAGUGACGGUAAUGGGUAAAGAAGCACCGGCUAACUACGUU